rfam:Pongo abelii chromosome 13.
UAUCAGGUUGGUGCAAAAGUAAUUGUGGUUUUUGCCAUUGAAAGUAAUGGCAAAGACCGCAAUUAUUUUUGCACCAACAUAAUA